rnacentral:lncRNA from 1 species
AUGGAUUGCUUUUUCAUUUAUUGAAUAAUAUUGAUACACCAGCAGGGUUACAUUCAUAUUAUAUAUUCAUAUGAUUUAAUAAAUCGGUAACUUGUGAUGAGUCUAAAAAUGCAGAGAAUUGAUGAUCAUGGAGGUGUAUUAGUAGUAGUAGGGAGAUGAUCUCCAGUUAGGAAAGAAUGAAUAAGAGAGAGAGCCUCAGUUGGUUUGUUGAGAGGCACUAAGUGACCAGCUCCUCUCACUGUCACAUAUGUCAAUCCUUCAUACUCCACUAUCCUUCCUCCAACCUGCAUUCCAUUUUCAUUUCCAUUGUUUUCCUCAUUCUCUAACAUAACUCAAUACAUUUACAUAUAUAUAAAAGGUAGAUUUUCUUUUGUAAAAAAUUAAGAAAAGAAUUUCUAAUAUUAAAUUGAAAAGUAAUUCAAGCUAGAACAAUAAAUUAAAAAAUAAGGGUUAGAAGGGUGCGUUUGAUUUGUUAAAAAAUGAAGGACAAGACAGAACAACUUCAGUUGUCCAGUGUUUGAUUUGUAAAACUGUUUCAGGGACAGAACAAACUGGAGGCAAGGGACAUGACAAAAACUGAAAUUUUUGUCUAUCACCAAACCACAGCACAACUUUUUGUCUCACGUACAAGUUGUCUAAAAUACCAAAAUAGCAUUUCGUCCCGCAAUAAAUUAUUUAAUAUCAUAAAAAUUUGUUCUGUGCUGUUAUGCCUUGUGUUGUGCUGUUCUGCAUUAUACUGUGCCGUCCAGUAUUUACUAUUUUGCAAACCAAACGCACCCACAAUUUGUUACCCGCUUAUCUUUCUUGUAAUUUUCUAUAUAUGUCAAAAUAACCAUUAAAAUGAAGAAGAAAAAAAACUAGAACGUAAAAGUGAAUUAGUGGACCUGAUUAUGUUGGUACCAAAUCCUCCAAGUAGACUUUAGAGGUAGUCCUAAAGCCUCAACACAAUAUCGUGUCCCUAUCACGGGUAAUCUGCCAUCUGCAUCUCCACUGUACAUAAAAUAAAUUACAAACUUAUACAUCAUAUAAGUAGUUUUGACAUUUUUACAUAUAUUAAAAAAAAAAAAUUAAUUUUGUAUUGAAACAAGAAAUUAUGGACGAUUUUACUGAAUUGUCACUCAUUAAUAACAUGAGAAAGAUAUACUAAAAUAAUAAAAAAAAUGAGAGUAAUAAAUAGUAAAUAGUACAAUAGAAAGAAUAUAUAUAUAUAUAUAAUUGGUAUAUUGAUAUUGUAAAAUGCCAUAAAAUAAUACAUGGAUGGACGAAAUAGAGGGUUACAUUUUAUUAAUUCAAUUUAAUUUAAUAAUAAUUCUCGUGAGUUUAACCCAAUUGGUAGAGAUAUUACAUAUUAUAUCUAGGGACCAGUGUUUGAACCCGGACACCCCACUUCUCCACAAUUAAAUUGUGUGAGCUUUAACCACUAAUCUGCUUGAAGAAAAAAAAUUAAAUAACAAUGCUUCACACAUCAAUCAAAAAGUUUAUUUUGGAAAGAGAAAAUUCUAUUAGAAGUUAGAAAGAAACAAAAAGAUCGAACAAUCAAAGAGUGAAUGCCCUUCCUUCAAAAAAAAAAAAAAAAAAAGAGUGAAUGACCCUUCCACCGAAAUCUAACAGUUUUAUGGAGCGACCACAUCUAUUAAAUUAAAAAGUAUGUAACCAUAAAGUCAUAUAUGGCAUUUACACUUUGUUUAAAAAAUACAUUUGGGGUCCAUAAUUGGGAUCCAUGUAAUGAUGACACUCGCAUAAUUUUUUUAUUUUAUAUAAUAAUAGAGUGAUAGUAGCACUUCUCUAAUUUGCACAAUACUUGUCCGGUGGCUAUGUAGUGCUUCUUUUUUUAGUUUAUAUUUGUUGUACACAUGUAGAUAUGUUUUCAUUAGAAAUCAUAUUAUGAUUUAUAAAAAAAUCUUAUUAUGAACACUUUUAAUGACAUGGCAAUUUAUAAUAAGUUUACAUUGUAACAAACGUUUAUAUUAUUAAAUAGGUGUUCAGGAUGAGUGUCACUUUAACGUAAGUUUUACAAAUUUCGUAGUAAAUGAAUGAGUGUAAAGUGUUACAAAAUUAUCCUCUUUUUUUAUCAAGUUUAUAAAAUUAUCCUUGUUAACUUUAGGAGUGUCGUUAAUCAUUGUCACAAAUGUCCUCGUGAACUUAGCUCAGUUGAUAAAAUCCGAUUUCAAAUCCCAACCACCAAAAAAAAAAUCAUUAUCACAAAUUUCGUAGUGAUGAGUAUAAUAAUGAAUUAAAAGUAAUGUACGCAGUACUAUAUUGAGGAUAAAGUUAAAAUAAAUAAAGAAAUCUUAACUUGAAAACACCAAACGACAAUCGAUUUUAUUUUCCUUCAAAAAAGACAAUCGAUUUUAUUUUAUUUUUAUAAAAUGACAUUCAUAUAAAAAGUAAAGUUGAGAGUGUAACCAAGAGAUACCUGUAAAUCCAUAUCUUAAGGCCACCCUUGAUGAGUUUAGUGUAGAUGGGUAGGACCGAAAAAACAGAGAUGUCGUAAGUAUUGAAUAUGGAAAUACUGAAAAACACAGGUGAAAAUUAAUAUUCAAUAUUCUAUAUAUAGGAUAAAAUAAAAUGAUGAAUUAAGGAAUCAAUCAAAUUGUAGUGCUUACUUGCAACCCUUCCAUUCUAUUUUACUGUUUCCUCUUUUAUUGUUUGCAUGAAUAGAUAACUGAACAUCUACCCUAUUAAAAAAUUCUUCUGCAUAUAUGGAAUAACAAGGGUCAUAGCCCCCAAAACUUCUCAUCCUCUUCAUUCUAUAACCAUUUUUCACCUGCAAGACCCAAAAUUAAACUACUUUUUGAUCAAUAUUCAAACUGGCAACUGCAUGCAUAUAUUAACCCUCUAUCAUUUAUAAUCUAUUGAUUUGUGACAUUAAUAUAUUUACCUUUUUAAGUGAUUCAGGGCCAUUUUUGGUUUCUGUGGAUGUACUAUUUAAACGACAUGCAGGGGCAUAAAUGUUGAAUAUGUCAAUUUCUGAAUAAUCAUGGAAGAGUUGGUCCAUGGCCUGAAAGCACUCAUUAGACCAUCGAAAUUGUUUAAAAUCACAAACUUGUUUUGCUUUCUCAUAUUGCUCAUCUGAUAUUACUGCAUGACUCCAUGCAUAUUCUACAAUGCCUUUAUAAUCAUAGUAAUCAUCAGUUUCUGGAUUCCCUACCUGAAAAUGUAUACAUAUAUAGUUCAUUUAGCCAAUGAAAUUACUUAGGGGAUGCAUAUUAUAAAAAUAAUGUGACUUUUACAUUCACAAACAGUGUAUUUUAGUUACAUAAUCUUGAUUGACGUGAAUUCCGGGAUUAAAUUACAUUAACUUAUCAGUGAUGCUAUUUCCAGUAGUUGAUUUUGGUUCUUUAUAUAUAGCAAAACAUGGGUUGAUGGAAAAUAGAAGAGGUGGCCGACAAAGUUACUUUAAACUAUCGUCAUAGCCUUGUGAGCUUCUUUGUCGAGAAGUAUAGCGUUUUCCUUCUUCACUUAAUUUUAAGCAUGCCCUUAUUCUCCUUAAUUUAAUUAUUCCUUCUUUUUUUUUUUGUUAAGCACGAUUUACUUACAAUAAAACCUUUAAGAUUAAUAAAUGGAUUUUUGCUUCUAUCUUUGUUUCUGUCAAAGAUUAACUCUGCAAGCUGAGGGAUAUAGUGACCUGAAAAAUAGUGAUAAUGAAAAUUUGGUUAUAAAUAUAUGUUUAUUCAAAAUACUUAUAACUAAAAGGUUAAAAUAAAAAUUAAAUAUGUUUUUAGUAGUAUAAAAUUUGAGAUCUUUCAAGUUUAGUUCCUAAAUUUUUUUUGACCAUUUCUAAUUUUUACCUUUUAUAAAAUCGAGUGUUUGCUGUCCUAACAAAGGACAAAAAUCACUGUUAUUAUAAAAGAUGGGAACUAAAAAUAUUGAUUUUUAUGAAAUGGUGAGGAUUAAGUUUAGGCAAAUUCUAUGGUACAUCCACUAUAUUUGAGUGUAUCGGUACACUCACUUUUGAAAUUCAUAGUUAAAUGAGUUGUUUUUUGAAGAAAAAAAAUAUUAUUUUUUUAUCAUUUAUAAUUAUAAUAACUAAAUCUUAUUCAUCAAAAGUGUCAACGAAAUAAUUUUUUAUUUUUUUAGAUUUUUAUCUCUCAUAAUUGAGAACAUUCAUUAUUUUUUAUGUAAUAAAAGUUACUAUGAUUCUUAUAAACAAUUAAAUGAUGUUUUUUCUUAUGAAAUGUUGUUCUAUAAAAUAUAAAUAUUGGCAAAUAGCUAUUUACUACAUAAAAAAUGAUCGUUCAUUUAUAAAAUUAAAAAACAGGAGUACCGAUACAUCUUAUUUUGUGAGUGUACCGUGGAAGUUUCUUAAGUUUAACUAAAACAGUUAUAUGCACUAAAAUAAAAUAAAAAUUAUAUUUUCUAUUAGAGACUACAACAAUAUUUAACCCAAAAAUAAACACUGACCAGCAUAGCUUUCUCCUGCUAAGAAAAAGUCCCUGGAUUUAAACUGUGGAAAUCUUUGUAGCCAAUUUACCAAGAAAUUGUAAGAAUCCUCGGCUGAUUCAUGCAGUUUGUAAUUAAAUAUGGUGACUUUAACAAAAUCAACAAAAUUAAAUUAUCUUAUCUUCUGCAAAGGAAACUCACCCACAAAAUGAUCCUCUAAAAUGGUGAGAUCAGAAGAGGUAUUGGUGUAAGAAAAACCAACUCCAAUGGGUGACUCCACAAAUAACAGAUUUGCUUCUGCAUAGGUUGAAAAAAUUACAAUAAAGCAGAUUAGGAUUAUUCUCUUUGUUAUGUUUGCAACAUUUAUUGGCACAUCAAUAAUAGUAUACUAACUUAGAUAGUCAUAUAUAUCAAACAAACAUAUAUUAUAUACUUCAUUGUCCAAAGAUGAAAAGAAAAUAUAAACCUUGACUCCAAGAGUAUGGGUUAAAUUUUAGUCCUUCACCAUUUUUGUUGACUAAAAGAGGUCCUAUCUCAACAACAGCACCACCUCCAAUUGAGGAGCAUCCAGGUCCUGACUCAAAGGCAAAAUGACAAAAAUGAAAAGUAGCAUCACUAAAUAAAUAUGACUAGAACUCUAUAACCAUAUACAUAGAAACUAUAGUAGUAGUAGUACUACUACUACUACUAAUAAUAAUAAUAAUUAGUUACAAAAAUGAAAUGAUGAAAGACCUCCAUUGAGCCAGAGAAGGAGAGGUUUAUUGGAGGGUUGAGAUUGAGCUUCAAAGAACCAAUAGAAAAGAGCCCUCCCAUGUUCUUCAUUGACAUUGAUGUAACCUGAAAAGUGUGAAAUUGAUGGGUUUGAAGGUUGUCCUGGUAGAUCAAUUAUUCUAUCAGUUUCAUAACUUUCAACAUUUAUUUCAGAUGCUUUAAUGAACAAUGAAAUGGUAGUACUAGUAGUUAAAAGAAUGAAACAUAGGAUCUGGACUAGAAAGACAUUCAUUUCUCUAGCUAAAAUGAAUAAAUUUGGUUUUCUUUAAUUUGACUCAAGACCAAUGUAAAAGCAUUGACUACUUUUAUAGUGCCAAUAUGUGAGUGGAGGGGAGGAUAGCAUUUUUGGGAUUGUCAUGUCAGAAAAUGACAAGUGAGGAUUAAAAAAAAAAAAAACAUUUUUUUGUGAUCUUUGGGCGUGUACUUCUAGACUAAAACAUGAUUAUUUUUUUAAAGUUUUUUUUUUAUAGAUAAAUGUUAGUGGUUGGUUUGUUAAAUGGAAAGAAAAAUUGUUAGUUGCGGAGAUUGAAUCCUAAACCUUAUUCUAAAGAGAACUAUUUUUAACCUCCUCAAUGUUUUUCCUGCGUCUAGAUGGUUAAAUUCAAAAGAAAACUAAUGUUUUGUCCAUGCCUGAAUGGGCAAAUUUGGACGUGAUCAAUUUUGAGAAUAAUUGGAGAUGAAAAAAGAAGCUAUCUGAUCUUAAUAUUCCUUCAACAUCUCAACUCAUACAUACCGCCAAACUACACAUUCGGUGAAUGGGGUGGGCAAUGAAGAUUUGAAUUUGUUGGAGUGGGUCUUACCCAAUCAACACACAAAAACCUUAGCCCAUUAGGCCACACAACUUGUUUUGCCACUACACUAGAUGGUGCAGUGCACUAACAUUGUGCAUGUCAAUUUACUUUAUCACAAGACUGUCAUUAGUCUUUCUGUCACUCAUUGGAUUGAGGUAAUCUCUUAUCAAGAUUUACAUAUUAAAAUCCACUUGCACCUCUUUGGAAUUAUUCAUUUGUUUGUUUCUUACUGAAUUAUCCAAAAAGGACAAAAUUUUAUAUCAUGGGGUCAUUAUUUGAGUUGGGUAAUGUGUAGAAAUUAGAAAACACUAACCAAUAAGAAAAAGGAACAAAUUACAAGGUGACAUAAAAGUUGGUGAAAUUAUUUGAGAUGCAAAUUGAGUAGAGUUUGUUUGUUUGUUCAAUUCAAGCAUUUCUUUGUCCAAGUAAGUCCGUUUUUAUAUUAAGUAAAUAAAAUUCUGUUUUAAAUUUUAAUGUUAAUAAGUUGAAAUCAUAAUAUCAAAUAGUUAAAAUUACAAUUAAUACAAUAAUACACUUCAAUUGAUACAAAAAUAAAUAUUAAAUCAGCUUUUAUGAAGAAAAGAAUACUAGUUUAUCCCAAAGUUGAUGGAAUUAAGAUUAAAGUCAUGUUAACUUGCGCUCUAAGAAUACAUAUUUUAAGACAUGAGUUAACAUUUCUUGAGAUUAACCUUAAGAUUUAGGGUUAAUAGGUUUUUACCCCCUGUAAUAUAGGUCAUUUCUGGUUUUUUUUUUUUCAAGAAAUUUUCGUUUUUGUUUGGCCUAAUAGGGGGUUAAAUCAAAACAAAUUUUUUUUACAGAGGGUAAAUCAAAAAAAAAAAAUUACGGGAAAAACCGAAAAUGACUUAUAUUAUAGGGGGCAAAGAUAUUAACCCUAAGGGUGCGUUUGAUUUGCUAAAAAAUGAAGGACAUGACAGAACAACUCUAGUUGUCAAGUGUUUGAUUUGUAAAACUGUUUCAGGUACAUGACAAACUGAAGGCAAGGGACAGGACAAAAACUCAUAUUUUUGUCCCUCAUCAAACCACAACACAACUUUUUGUCCCACGUACAAGUUGUCUAAAAUACCAAAAUAACAUUUUGUCCCUCAAAAAUCGUAUAAAACAAAAAAUUAUUCAAUGCCAUAAAAAAUUUGUCCAGUGCUGUUCUGUCCAGUACUUAUUGUUUUGCAAACCAAACACACUCUAAGAUUUAUGAUUCCUAAAAGUUCAUAAUUGCUUUGACGAUGAAACCUAAACUAUAAUAUUUUGUCUACCGGUCUUAACUAUUUUGGAGACUCUAUUCUAAUCUUAAAAAUUGGUGUAUGUAGGAAUUUGGAGACCUUUAAACACGAUUAGUUGUCAAUUUUCAAUCUGAAUGUUAUACGCAUUCGUAUCAAAACAAAUAUGUUGCUUCGGCUCGGUGUUUAGUCUUUUACCAUCCCUUUGCAAGUUCAAUUCCAAGGUAUGUUAUUUUGAUUUUUAAGAUCAGUUUGUAAAACAUAAAAUUAAACAAAACAAUAUGUAACAAGACAAUCAAAUCUGCGAUAAUUUGUAACUUUCCAAGUUAUAAUCGUUCCACCAAUCCAAACAUGUAUUUUGGAACAAAAGAUUAGGUCUCAAAGUACUUUGUAUCUGGUUGCACUUGCUUAGGGCCAAUCCUGCUCGUAUUGUACGGAUUUAUUUAAAUUUUAUUUAUAAUAUUCCCUCCCUUCCAAAACAAUUAUCGGUUUAGUAUAUAAAAGGUGUUUCAUAUACUGCAUUUGAUAAAAUGUUGCUAAAACUAGUUAACAAUAAUUUUCAUCAUAAUUUCAUAAUUCGUUUCUAAUCUUAUGUACUUUUAAUUAUGGACACACAUUUUUUUCAAGAAAGCAAACUUAUAUCAUUUUCAAUUGCAUGCAUGAAGAAUACAAGAAGACAACUUAAAAAACUUGAGGAUUAUACAUGAAUUUAGCCACCCUUACUAACUUAUGGGUCACUACAUUUGUGUGACGUAGUAUAUAUAUAAUGCUUUUUUUUUACAAAGAAUGUGUAAUGCUUGAUGCUUUUCAUUAAGACACAAACAUGCAGAUUUCAUGGAUUGCUUUUUCAUUUAUUGAAUAAUAUUGAUACACCAGCAGGGUUACAUUCAUAUUAUAUAUUCAUAUGAUUUAAUAAAUCGGUAACUUGUGAUGAGUCUAAAAAUGCAGAGAAUUGAUGAUCAUGGAGGUGUAUUAGUAGUAGUAGGGAGAUGAUCUCCAGUUAGGAAAGAAUGAAUAAGAGAGAGAGCCUCAGUUGGUUUGUUGNAGAAGGAGAGGUUUAUUGGAGGGUUGAGAUUGAGCUUCAAAGAACCAAUAGAAAAGAGCCCUCCCAUGAUCUUCAUUGACAUUGAUGUAACCUGAAAAGUGUGAAAUUGGUGGUGUUGAAGGUUGUCCUGGUAGAUCAAUUAUUCUAUCAGAUUCAUAGCUUUCAACAUUUAUUUCAGAUGCUUUAAUGAACAAUGAGGAAGUGGUAAUAGUUAAAAGAAAGAAACAUAGGAAUUGGAGGACAGACAGAAAAACAUCCAUUUUUCUAACUAAAAUGAAAUAAUUUGGAUCCAAAGCCAAUGUAAAUGUAUUGGCGACUUUUAUAGUGCUAAUAAGAGAGUGGGUGAGAUCACUUAGGAUUCUCAUGUCAGAAAAUGAGUUUUCCACCAAAAUCAUUUCAGUCUAUACAUUAAAAAAUGCAGUAAGCAAAGUUGUUAACAAAUAAAAUUGUACACUUUGUUGGAGUGUGCCUUACCCAAUCAUCACACAAAAACUUUAGCCCAUCAGGUAAGACAACUUGUUGGACCACAAUAGUCACUACAGAUGGUGUAGUGCAUUAGCACUGUGCAUGUCACUUUUCUUUAUCGCAGUCGACAUCAGUCUUUCUAUAUUUAUUACAAAUUAAAAUCCACUUGUACCUCUUUUGAAUUAUUCACUUUUGUUUCUUACUGAAUUCAUC